rnacentral:rRNA from 1 species
CCUCUAGCAUCAUUAGUAUUAGAGGCACUGCCUGCCCAGUGACAUUAGUUAAACGGCCGCGGUAUCCUGACCGUGCAAAGGUAGCAUAAUCAUUUGUUCCUUAAUUAGGGACUUGUAUGAAUGGCCCCACGAGGGUUUAACUGUCUCUUACUUUUAAUCAGUGAAAUUGACCUUCCCGUGAAGAGGCGGGAAUAUAUAAAUAAGACGAGAAGACCCUAUGGAGCUUAAAUUAACGUGUCCAACAAAAUCUAUUCUUAAUCCAACAGGAAAUAAAAAUAUUUUAACUGGACAACAAAUUUUGGUUGGGGUGACCUCGGAGUAUAACAAAACCUCCGAGAGAUAUUGACCAAGACUUACCCGUCAAAGUAAUAUAAUUUAUUGAUCCAAUCAUAUUGAUCAACGAAACAAGUUACCCUAGGGAUAACAGCGCAAUCCUAUUUAAGAGUUCAUAUCGACAAUAGGGUUUACGACCUCGAUGUUGGAUCAGGACAUCCAAAUGGUGCAACAGCUAUUAAAGGUUCGUUUGUUCAACG